rnacentral:lncRNA from 1 species
AUCCAUAUAAAAUUGAAAAUAAAGUCAAAUCUUAUGAAAUAAAAUUUAAUCAAUAACUCCUACAUGUCUAGUUUUCAGAAAUAUAAAGUUCUUAAGAAAAAUCAUCUAGAAAAAUAUAUGUUUAAAUUCGAGAUACUCAUAUUGUCCAGAAUUUGUCCAGUGUGCUUAAUACACCAAGGGUUGAUUAUUAAAACCCACAAUAAAUCAAAACCCUAAACAAUACCUAAACACACCUUAAAUUAUGUAUUAUAAUCUGUAUCAAUCUAAAAUCAUGCUAAUAUAAACCCUACAUAGAGUGAUUAGAAAUCUCAUGGAGAAUAAGGAGAGCAAACUUAACAAUUGCUUUGAUUCUCUCCUAAACAAAUGUUUUAAUUCCUAGGUUGGAUUGAAAUGAAAGGGGGUUAGGGGGAAUUUAUAGGAUUCCUUAAGGCUAAUGGAUGGCUAGAAUUUUGCCACCACAACUCUUGAUCAGUGGUUGAAAUUAUCCUUCAUAAAUACCUUACUAGUUUCUAGAAUUCUUAUAUAUCCCUACAACUUUCUUAUAUCAUCACUUAUGUCAUAGAUUAUGUCAUUAUUACUUAGUCAUUGCAUCAUCACUUAUGUCAUUACUUCUCUUAAAAUUAAAUAUU